AGCGACUUAUAUUCUGUAGCAAGGUUAACCGAAUAGGGGAGCCGGAGGGAAACCGAGUCUUAAUUGGGCGUUAAGUUGCAGGGUAUAGACCCGAAACCCGGUGAUCUAGCCAUGGGCAGGUUGAAGGUUGGGUAACACUAACUGGAGGACCGAACCGACUAAUGUUGAAAAAUUAGCGGAUGACCUGUGGCUGGGGGUGAAAGGCCAAUCAAACCGGGAGAUAGCUGGUUCUCCCCGAAAGCUAUUUAGGUAGCGCCUCGUGAAUUCAUCUCCGGGGGUAGAGCACUGUUUCGGCUAGGGGGCCAUCCCGGCUUACCAACCCGAUGCAAACUGCGAAUACCGGAGAAUGUUAUCACGGGAGACACACGGCGGGUGCUAACGUCCGUCGUGAAGAGGGAAACAACCCAGACCGCCAGCUAAGGUCCCAAAGUCAUGGUUAAGUGGGAAACGAUGUGGGAAGGCCCAGACAGCCAGGAUGUUGGCUUAGAAGCAGCCAUCAUUUAAAGAAAGCGUAAUAGCUCACUGGUCGAGUCGGCCUGCGCGGAAGAUGUAACGGGGCUAAACCAUGCACCGAAGCUGCGGCAGCGACGCUGAUGCGUUGUUGGGUAGGGGAGCGUUCUGUAAGCCUGCGAAGGUGUGUCGUGAGGCAUGCUGGAGGUAUCAGAAGUGCGAAUGCUGACAUAAGUAACGAUAAAGCGGGUGAAAAGCCCGCUCGCCGGAAGACCAAGGGUUCCUGUCCAACGUUAAUCGGGGCAGGGUGAGUCGACCCCUAAGGCGAGGCCGAAAGGCGUAGUCGAUGGGAAACGGGUUAAUAUUCCCGUACUUGGUGUUACUGCGAAGGGGGGACGGAGAAGGCUAUGUUGGCCGGGCGACGGUUGUCCCGGUUUAAGCGUGUAGGUGUGUGUUCCAGGUAAAUCCGGUUCACUUUAACACUGAGGCGUGAUGACGAGGCACUACGGUGCUGAAGCAACAAAUGCCCUGCUUCCAGGAAAAGCCUCUAAGCAUCAGGUAACAUCAAAUCGUACCCCAAACCGACACAGGUGGUCAGGUAGAGAAUACCAAGGCGCUUGAGAGAACUCGGGUGAAGGAACUAGGCAAAAUGGUGCCGUAACUUCGGGAGAAGGCACGCUGACACGUAGGUGAAGUGAUUUACUCAUGGAGCUGAAGUCAGUCGAAGAUACCAGCUGGCUGCAACUGUUUAUUAAAAACACAGCACUGUGCAAACACGAAAGUGGACGUAUACGGUGUGACGCCUGCCCGGUGCCGGAAGGUUAAUUGAUGGGGUCAGCGCAAGCGAAGCUCCUGAUCGAAGCCCCGGUAAACGGCGGCCGUAACUAUAACGGUCCUAAGGUAGCGAAAUUCCUUGUCGGGUAAGUUCCGACCUGCACGAAUGGCGUAAUGAUGGCCAGGCUGUCUCCACCCGAGACUCAGUGAAAUUGAACUCGCUGUGAAGAUGCAGUGUACCCGCGGCAAGACGGAAAGACCCCGUGAACCUUUACUAUAGCUUGACACUGAACAUUGAGCCUUGAUGUGUAGGAUAGGUGGGAGGCUUUGAAGUGUGGACGCCAGUCUGCAUGGAGCCGGCCUUGAAAUACCACCCUUUAAUGUUUGAUGUUCUAACGUGGACCCGUGAUCCGGGUUGCGGACAGUGUCUGGUGGGUAGUUUGACUGGGGCGGUCUCCUCCUAAAGAGUAACGGAGGAGCACGAAGGUUGGCUAAUCCUGGUCGGACAUCAGGAGGUUAGUGCAAUGGCAUAAGCCAGCUUGACUGCGAGCGUGACGGCGCGAGCAGGUGCGAAAGCAGGUCAUAGUGAUCCGGUGGUUCUGAAUGGAAGGGCCAUCGCUCAACGGAUAAAAGGUACUCCGGGGAUAACAGGCUGAUACCGCCCAAGAGUUCAUAUCGACGGCGGUGUUUGGCACCUCGAUGUCGGCUCAUCACAUCCUGGGGCUGAAGUAGGUCCCAAGGGUAUGGCUGUUCGCCAUUUAAAGUGGUACGCGAGCUGGGUUUAGAACGUCGUGAGACAGUUCGGUCCCUAUCUGCCGUGGGCGCUGGAGAACUGAGGGGGGCUGCUCCUAGUACGAGAGGACCGGAGUGGACGCAUCACUGGUGUUCGGGUUGUCAUGCCAAUGGCACUGCCCGGUAGCUAAAUGCGGAAGAGAUAAGUGCUGAAAGCAUCUAAGCACGAAACUUGCCCCGAGAUGAGUUCUCCCUGAGACUUAGAGUCUCCUGAAGGAACGUUGAAGACGACGACGUUGAUAGGCCGGGUGUGUAAGCGCAGCGAUGCGUUGAGCUAACCGGUACUAAUGAACCGUGAGGCUUAACCUUACAACGCCGAAG
rnacentral:rRNA from 1 species